rnacentral:rRNA from 1 species
AUUGAACGCUGGCGGCAGGCCUAACACAUGCACGUCGGGCGAGUGGCGUACGGGUGAGUAAUGCUUGGGACUCUAGCUUAUGGAGGGGGAUAACUACGGGCAACUGUAGCUAAUACCGCGUACCAUAGGAUGAGCCCAAGUGGGAUUAGGUAGUUGGUGAGGUAAAGGCUCACCAAGCCGACGAUCUCUAGCGGGUCUGAGAGGAUGACCAGCAACACUGGGACUGAGACACGGCCCAGACUCCUACGGGAGGCAGCAGUGGGGAAUAUUGCGCAAUGGGGGCAACCUGACGCAGCCAUGCCGCGUGAAUGAAGAAGGCCUUCGGGUUGUAAAGUGCUUUCGGUAGCGAGGCGUUAACUACAGAAGAAGCACCGGCUAACUCCGUGCCAGCCGCCGCGGUAAUAC